rnacentral:tRNA from 1 species
CGUAGCUCAGCUGGAUAGAGCACCGGCCUUCUAAGCCGGGUGUCGGGGGUUCGAAUCCCUUCGG